rnacentral:rRNA from 1 species
GUCCACGCCGUAAACGAUGAGAACUAGCCGUUGGAAGGUUUAAUCUUUCUAGUGGCGCAGCUAACGCAAUAAGUUCUCCGCCUGGGGAGUACGGCCGCAAGGUUAAAACUCAAAGGAAUUGACGGGGGCCCGCACAAGCGGUGGAGCAUGUGGUUCAAUUCGAUGCAACGCGAAAACCUUACCUGCCCUUGACAUCUAGAGAACCCUGCAGAGAUGCGGGGGUGCCUUCGGGAGCUCUAAGACAGGUGCUGCAUGGCUGUCGU